rnacentral:ncRNA from 1 species
UAAUAUGGGAGCGAUGAAAUCCAUUCUUUAUGUGGGCACUUGGAAUGGACGGAGCUAGUAGUGCAACCGACCAACU